AUGGGAUCAAGGAUAAGAGUGUUUAUGUAUCCCAGGUUUUCAACUCACCACCGAUUCACGCUCCUUCAUCAUUUGCUUAUCCAUUCCGCAGCUUUUCUGCCUCCAAGACCACAAAACAGAACUGUAACACCUCCACACUUCUAUAUUCGCAUUACCGGCUACUCCACAACAACCAACCAGACAAUUUCUCAUCAACCAACAAUCGCGCACCUCUCAACAACUGCACCGCACCCAACUCACCAAUCUGACCAUCAAUUCAUCCGCACCAAGCCUCCGCUACCCGACACCGCCAGAUCCACGACACCAUCCUCUGACCAUACGCUUUGCCACGGUUUCAGUCGGUAA